UACCCCUCUUUCAGGGUGGUACAGAGUUCAAACAACAGAGAAGAGGGAAAGAACAUUGUGAUGUGUGUAAGUGUCUGCUGUUCUCCAAGCAGUUCAUGCACCAGGGCAACGUGGCUGAGACCACCCGGUAAGUGCAAGGGCUGGGACUGGGCUCAUGGGGUGGGGAGAAAAUCCACCGUCAUGCUGACAUACCCAUCCCUGUCAGAUUUGAGAAGCUUGCUCAGGACUGCAAGAAACAGCUGGAGAUCCUGCA
rnacentral:sRNA from 1 species